rnacentral:rRNA from 1 species
GAUGAACGCUGGCGGUGUGCCUAAUACAUGCAAGUCGAGCGAACAGACGAGGAGCUUACUCCUCUGACGUUAGCGGCGGACGGGUGAGUAACACGUGGAUAACCUACCUAUAAGACUGGGAUAACUUCGGGAAACCGGAGCUAAUACCGGAUAACAUGUUGAACCGCAUGGUUCAACAGUGAAAGACGGUCUUGCUGUCACUUAUAGAUGGAUCCGCGUCGCAUUAGCUAGUUGGUAAGGUAACGGCUUACCAAGGCAACGAUGCGUAGCCGACCUGAGAGGGGGAUCGGCCACACUGGAACUGAGACACGGUCCAGACUCCGACGGGAGGCAGCAGUAGGGAAUCUUCCGCAAUGGGCGAAAGCCUGACGGAGCAACGCAGCGUGAGUGAAGAAGGUCUUCGGAUCGUAAAACGCUGUUAUUAGGGAAGAACAAAUGUGUAAGUAACUAUGCACGUCUGGACGGUACCUAAACAGAAAGCCACGGCUAACUACGU